rnacentral:tRNA from 1 species
GGGGUUGUGGCUCAGUGGUAGAGCACCUGCCUCGCAGGUGUGAGGCACUAAGUUCGAUCCUCAGCCCCA